rnacentral:lncRNA from 1 species
AUGGUAUUAUUAUAUAUUUUGUAUUCAUUAGUUUUGUUUGCAGUUGCUUAUACGAAAGAAAAUAUAAACAACCAGGCAGUGAACAGUCCUGUGCUUCAAUAUGGAUUUAUAAAUAAUGAACACUAUAAGCAUUAUUUACCUUCGAAGGAUUCUAAUAUACUAAAAAAUACGGAUUUAAUAACUAUAUCGUGUCAAAAGGGGUAUACAGUGGCAGUUAAAAAAGCAAUUAUAAUAGACUUGAAUGAAGAAGAAAAUGAUUAUACACAACUGAUUAAAGAAAUAUGUUCAAAGAAAGCACAGUGCAAGAUCGAUGUUAGACAAUUCAAAAUUAAAAUUAAACACAAUGCUAUUGACGCUACCUCCGAACUAAUACUAGACUAUAUCUGUAUAAGUUCCGAGAAUAACCUAUAUGAUGGAAGGAGCUUUCAUCAAGGAAUUACUCAAAAAUAUUUAACAGUAAGAGACCGAACAAUAGCAUGUGUUCAAAAUAGUGAGAAUGUCGAAAAGAUGUUAUCAAUUUCAAAGGCUUUGGAAAAGUGUUCCAAAAAUAAUUGCACUUACGUUGUAUGGAAUGCUGAAGAAAAAAAAGCAGUCAUUUGUUAUGAAAAUAAUUCACAUGAUUUGAUUGAAAAGAAGAAUAAUAUAACAUAUAUUAAUCCUACAUUUUUUUAUACUUAUGGAUUUGCAACUUUUCUGAAUUACAUGUCUAUAUGUGAAAACGUUGUAAAAAGCGUGCCCUACAAUUUAAGUAUGGGAAAAUCAGUUGACGUAUGUUCUCACUUGGAUUGUGCUUACUUUACAAAAAGUUACGCAGGGUCUAUAAGAUCAUUAAAUAACAAUAACAGUGGAAAAUCUUGGUUUUGCAAAGGGUACUUUUUUAAAAAAGGGAAACACAAAUUCAUACAUGCGUACAUCCCUCCCUUUAUACAUACAUAUAUAUAUAUAUAUACAUUUUUUUUUAUAUAG